GCUACACAUGCAGUCGAGCGGAACGAGAAGUAGCUUGCUACUUCGGCGUCGAGCGGCGGACGGGUGAGUAAUGCCUAGGAAAUUGCCCUGAUGUGGGGGAUAACCAUUGGAAACGAUGGCUAAUACCGCAUAAUGCCUUCGGGCCAAAGAGGGGGACCUUCGGGCCUCUCGCGUCAGGAUAUGCCUAGGUGGGAUUAGCUAGUUGGUGAGGUAAUGGCUCACCAAGGCGACGAUCCCUAGCUGGUCUGAGAGGAUGAUCAGCCACACUGGAACUGAGACACGGUCCAGACUCCUACGGGAGGCAGCAGUGGGGAAUAUUGCACAAUGGGCGCAAGCCUGAUGCAGCCAUGCCGCGUGUAUGAAGAAGGCCUUCGGGUUGUAAAGUACUUUCAGCAGUGAGGAAGGGGUGUACGUUAAUAGCGUGCAUCCUUGACGUUAGCUGCAGAAGAAGCACCGGCUAACUCCGUGCCAGCAGCCGCGGUAAUACGGAGGGUGCGAGCGUUAAUCGGAAUUACUGGGCGUAAAGCGCAUGCAGGUGGUUCGUUAAGUCAGAUGUGAAAGCCCGGGGCUCAACCUCGGAACUGCAUUUGAAACUGGCGGGCUAGAGUACUGUAGAGGGGGGUAGAAUUUCAGGUGUAGCGGUGAAAUGCGUAGAGAUCUGAAGGAAUACCAGUGGCGAAGGCGGCCCCCUGGACAGAUACUGACACUCAGAUGCGAAAGCGUGGGGAGCAAACAGGA
rnacentral:rRNA from 1 species